rnacentral:lncRNA from 1 species
GUCACACCAUCGGCAUAUCCCAUUGCCCGGCUGUUUCGCCCCGAUUGUACAAUUCCACUGGCCCCGGCGGAAUCGACCCAACCAUGGACAGCGAGUACGCUGAAAACCUCAAGGCCAACAAGUGUAAAACCGCGAGCGAUAACACCACAAUACUUGAGAUGGACCCUGGGAGUCGGAAAACCUUCGAUCUUAGCUACUACUCACUCUUGCUCAAAAGAAGGGGUCUUUUCCAGUCCGAUGCUGCUUUAACCACUGAUUCAACUAGCUUGGCUUUCAUCAACCAGCUCCUUUCCAGCCCCACACAGUUCUUCUUUGAUGAGUUUGGCAAAGCUAUGGAGAAAAUGGGUCGGAUUAAUGUUAAGACUGGAUCCGAAGGCGAGAUCAGGAAGCAAUGUGCACUUGUUAACAGCUAAGAAAAGAGAAUUUUGUCUUUUCUUUUUCUUUGGUUUAAAAUAUUAUUUAUUUAUAGGAAUGGGGUUAUGUGAAUAAAGGGAAUGGAGCGGGUGAAAUGAACUUCGUUGUCUACUCAAAACUGUAGUGAAAUUCAUGGGGCUGGAACUGUAUUUGUUGUUCAUUCAAUCGGUGUGAUUUUGUAAGCAAUAUCUUCAUGUAUUAAGUUGGAUUCAUGGAAUAAUAAAUUAUAAUUUUAAAUCAUACAUCUCUUUCGACUCUCUCUUGCGCUGAGUUCAUUUGGUAUGAAGCUACGGAUUUAUUGAAAUUUAAAGCAGUUUUUUUGGCCUGAAAAUCUUGUAGUGCAUAACAGUGUUAACGAGCAGCUGGUUUCCAGAGAUUCAAAAGAACGAAAAAUCAAGUUUGAAGGUAUGUUUAUGAUAAAUUAAAGGAAAUAAAGCAAUAAACAAUGAACGAGACAAUCUAUAUAUGUAUGGCCGUGGCAGGCCAUCGGUGCUUUUUAUUAACGCAAGCUAUGCACCCAACAGGCACAUUAGGCAUAGGGGGGGAGCAAGCAAUAAAUGUUACUAAUAUCAUUUUGAUGGAUUAGUUAUUUUGGGAUUAAAUUACUGACUAAUAUAUUAUAAGUUUUUGUCUUAUUUUAUAGAUUUUUUUUAAAUCUAAAAUUUUGAAGUCCCAGUUAUUCUAUUAAAUUCAUUGAUAUAAUAAUAAAUAAUAUUGUAAUGAAUUUGAAUUUAUCAGUAAAUUUUUUAAAAUUCAUAUAAGUUUUUGACCAAAUAAAGUAUGUAGAUGGACUAAUUAUAAAAGUUAAGGUAUUAAAUUUUUAAAAUUCAUAUAAGCAUUUGACCAAAUACAGAAGAUGAUUGUUGUCGUCCUCUCGAUGUUGGAGGACUAAGAUUUAGGAGGUUAGCUGGUCAAAAUAAAUUUUUCUUGUUAAAGUUUAAAUUUAGCUUCUCUCGAAAGUAGAUGCUCUUUGAGUCAAAGUGUUGAGGAAUAAAUAUAAAUGUCCAUUGUAAGAAGUAUGUAACACACGUUACCCAACCUGAAUAAUUGGAUCCGAGUCUGGUAUGCCACAACUUAAAAUCAUACGAGUUUAGUAAAAGCAUUUAAAAUUUACAAAAACUUAAGAUAUUGGUGUAAUCCUCAAUACGACAAGAACAAAACAAUCAAUUUAAAUAUAUGCCAAGAAAAGUAUUUUAGACAGAACAUUUAGCGAAAGCCUUAUAAAAGUCGAUAGAGUUAUUCCCUUAGAAAAGUUUCAAGUGCAUCAUUGGCAGUUAAUUAUCAUUCAAAACAGUUUGGUGUACACGACUAAAAUAUUAUCUCAAAAACCAUAGAUCAUUGGAUCAAACACACACACACACACAUAUACUAUUGGAGUUUACAAAAGAUUUCAUAAAAUAGAGUUUAACAAAAACUACAAAUCAUUAAAAGAGGUAAUACAAAAUGUUUGUACAUGCCACCCAACCCACGGUAUGCAUGAUACAAAAAUUAACAAAAGGCUCACAAUCAACAGUGCUCUAGCAUAGUCCUUUCAGAAUUCUCUUCCUUCAAUAGACACUCUUGAAAAGAAAAAUGUAACAUUCCACCCUGCAAAGUCCUAGUGUUUGAAUACUGUUUAUCGAAGUAUGGUGUUUAGGGCAAGAUCUGAGUGGGUAAAGUAUUAAAUGUGACUAAGCAUGUAAGUCUAUGUGUGCGCAUUUGGGUGAAGUCUAUGUUGAGCAAGCUUAGUGGUUUAGUGGACUCCCUUGUAGAGUAUAUGCCACCCCAGUUGUUAGACAAUUACGUUAAGUCUUUAGUUGAAGAACUAUGUAUUAUUUUAUUAUUUUAUUAGUUGAACAUUUUAGUUAGACGAAUGAGAAUUGAUUAGAAUAGAACUAAUUUAUGAUGAGAGAGAAAGUACUUAGUCAUAGGAAUCGAGGGUGUUUAGUGGGCUAAUCAGACUUAUCCACUAAACCCAACUUUUGUGUAUAGUUGUAUAUGGUUGGUAUUGGCUUAUUGAACAAGUUUUAUGUUUUCCCUGGUGCCCAUAUUUUCUUCUCAAACUUUCUCUGCACUUUUCUCUCAAUAAAACCUUAGAUUAGAAGCUUGCUUGAAGAUUUGGGUUGGUUGUAUUCAACCAAAUCUUUCGUUGUUUUAGCAUAUGGUAAAUGUCGAUGAACCUUAGGUAAUCUCGUGGUUAUUUACAUGACCUUUGAGUUGCGCGCUUUAGCGUCAAUUUUGAGUGUAUGGAAGGAAAUUUCCUGAAUCUGGGUUUUAUGAUGAUGUUACUUACAAGUUGUUUAGUUUUCUGGUAUAUAGUUUGAUAAGUUUAACUAUUUAUAUUAUAACUCAAGUCACUCUUGAAGGUUUUCAUGAUAAGGGCAAAGAUCUUGCAGUUCAAUCUUGUUAUGUUUUCUAGUGAGUUCCUUCUUACUCCAUGUGUGUGUAAUGCCUUUUUUUUUAUGUUUGGUUUAAGGUAAGUAUAUAUAUUUUGUGAAGAUGAAAUAUUUGUGCAAGUAUGAUGGGUGAUUAUUGUAUUAGUUUGGUUUGGUCUAUCCGUGUUAAAAAUGUAAGAACCGUUCUUCAUGUUUAUGCCACUACCCUCUUGCUUCUAAAAUGAAUAAUGUGAUCUAAAGUAUGAACAUGGAUUCAUGGCAUUGCCUUCAAUAAAAUGAGCAUUGAACUAGCAAAUCGCGAUACAUGAAAAUGGUCAUGUAGCUUCUAGUAGGACAAGUGUUAUUGCAAACCAGACUGGCAAAUCAUGACAAAGGAAAAUGAAUGAGCGAACGAUAUGGCUCUAAAUAUGGACUAGGGUUUGUGGCUAACACGAAGAAAGUGGUUUGUAUGAUUGGAUGGGCAUAGUGUACACGCAAAAGGAAUAGUGUCUGGCGUAUAGUCUGUCUAUAUUUGGAAUCCACCAACUGUCGAAUUGUGUGUCUGUGUUGAAUUAGAAAAGUUUAUACGAGUUAUAUGUAUAUUGCAAUAUUUUCCUCCAAAAAUCACUAAGUUUUUUUUACUUAGUUACCUUUCCUUUUCAGGCCUGUUGAUAAAGUAAAGGAAUUUCUGAAGACUACGCUAGAGGACUAUUAUUGUCAUGAGGCUUCUUAUAUUUUGUAUUGUACAUGACAUAGGGGUGGUCUCAAGACAUUUAUCUUUUGAAGAAUGUAUUUUGUAUCUAAACCCUUGAUUAUGAGCAUAUGGUUCUAAUGGAAUUACAAUGAAGUAUUUAUGGUUUUCAAAAGCGUACUAUCUUAUUUAUUUUUGAAUGAUUAAUAGUUUGCAUUUUAUAUUAAUUUAAAUUGUGCCGUAAAUAGGUUUAUGGAAGACACAAUUUUGGAAAAUAAUGGUUUUAAGGCAGUGACGUGCCAUUCCUGGAUCCUCCCUAAGGAUCGGGUUUGGAGUGUUACAGAAAAGGUACUAGAGUAAGUUAAAAUAAACUUAGUGAGUUCGAAUGACAGAGAAAGCACAUAUAGAUCAUACACAAUAAUACCUGAGAUGAUAUCAAACCUUUCAUAGAAUUACAGACAAACUCGGUAUAUCCACUUAGCACUACACAGGGGCAAUCACUAUCCGCCAGAUUAAUCAUAACAAAUACUCAACCCAUCUUUAUGCUAGCCUCGUACCCAAAAUUUAGAUUUAGAAGCAUAUUAGUUAUUUAUAUUCAUAUAAUACACCCCCUUAAAUCCUCAUAUCAUUUCGGUUCAACCAAGUAUGUUUUCUCGUGAUCUGUCAGUUCGAUUUGCAAUAUAGCUACCUAACUAGAGGCAACACAAACAUAAUCCUCCUGCUUCAACAUCUCAUCUCACAUAUCACAUAUCACAUAUCACAUAUUACAUAUCACAUAUCACAUAUCGAUGGUAUUUGCUUGUGCAGUAAGGAGGGUAUUUACUUUGUAACACAGGUAGACCAUACUCACUCUAAUGAUAUUGGAUAACCACCAACGACACAGACACCAUUUAUACGCUAUUGAGAGAGAUUACGUACCUUACACAAUAUAUAUACAACAAUGAAAUUUAUAUCAUAUGGAAGUAAGAAAGAACUCACUAGAAAAUCUAGUAUAGUGAUCUACUCAGCAGAUUCUUUACCCUUGUUGCUAGGACCUUCGUUAGCUUCUUAAGCUAAAAGAAAGAUAAAUAUCCCUAUCAGAUUCUUAAACUAUUAAAACUUAACAUGCAUUCAAGAAUCAAUAUCAAACAACCCAGAAUCAGGAAGUUUCCUUCCUCAAGAACAAUUCUAAGGUCUAUGCAUGCAGUACUAUAAACACAUGAAUCUCUUCGAUUAUAACUUAAGGGUUUACCAAAAAUUACAAAUAAGCUGUUGUACAAACGUAGGUACUCACUAAACAUUGGGAACCCUUUUCAUUGAAGCUUUCUACACUAAGGUUUUCCUAAGCUUAUAGAAUCAUUCUGGGAAAAAGAAGAUGUAAAGGUGACAUAUGAUAACCAACGAUAUCCUUAUAUACUUAUGCAAUGAAGACAAUGUUUAAUGGGAAAAUCAUAUAAUCCCACUAACACCUUUGAUUCCUGUGAUUAAAUGCACUUAAUAAGUUUUAAGUCUAAUCAUCUACAAUAUUUUAGUUUAGUACUAACUAAGUCUCAACUAAACCCCAACAUGAUUAACUAAGUCAUCAUAAUAUACACUAAAUAUAGAAAUAAAUCUAUUAAAACUACGAACUUAACAAAUUCGCCAACAAUCUGGGGUGGGCGGAUACUCAACAGAAGAGUCUGCCAAACCCUAGAGUUCGCCAAAACUUGAAGUUCGCCAGACAACGAAUCCCACAUAGUACGUUACUCAGCCAAAAAAAAAACUUACUUACUCAAUUCUACUCGGAUUAAGCAACUUAUCUGCCAAACAAUAACUAGAUAUUAAGUCUCCAUUAGGAGGGCUGUUACAAAGUAACUAUUUGUUUCUUUGGAGAUUGAUGAUAAAGGUCUUGCCUGAAGUAUUUGCUAAUGUUUAUUGGUUUAUUGGGGAUGGUUAGCUUACAAAAUUUUGGAAUGAUGUGUGGAUCUGACAAUUAGGGCCUCUUCUUAUAUUUUAUAAAGGUGCUGGACAACCGAAUGAUAUACUACGUGUUUGUGAGUUGGUUACGGAAAGUGGAAGUUGAGAUUGGUCUUGUCUAUGUUAUCUUGUAUCAGAUCAUAUUAUCUCUCAUAUCACAACUUUCUUACCUUCUUCUCCUAAUACAGGUCAAGAUCAUUUAGCAUGGAAAUGGAUGAGGAAAUAUGAUUUUUCUGUUAGAAAAAAUGAGUUUAGAAAACGCAGCAGAAAAUAAAUUUAGGUAAAAACUAGAGUUUUAAAAUUUUUUCCAAAAUAGGAUCUUGAUUUUGAUAUCCAAAGUAAUAAACACUUAAUCAAUAUUGUACCUUUUUGAUUCGUCUAGGAUGAGCUCUUCGACCAAGUAGUCUUUUUCGCUAUCCUUAAGCUCAAGUCUGCCGAGUGUAGGCUCGUUUCGAAUUAGAAAAGUUUUCAAGAAAAUUACCAGUGGGGUAAUUUUGUAAUUUCUCUAAAUUUUUGGGUCAAGUUAUAAAUAAGAAAAAUAGCUUUAGAAUUUUUCUGGAAUAAUCUCUUUAAAGAAUUUUCUCUCUACAACUUUUUCUUAAAUUCAAGUGUGUGUAAAUAAUGACCCAAUGCUCUCUUUAUAUAGAGAGAGUUUAGAGGAUUCAACUAUAAUUAAACUUAAUCACUUUAAUAUUAAAUUAAUAUAAUAUUUAUCUUAUUAGAUUAAAUUUAAUAUUAAAUCUUAUUAAAAUAAUAUAAUAUUUAUCUUGUAGAUAAACAUUAAAUUAAAUUAAAUAUUAAGAUAAUCAAUUUAAUAUUAAAUAAAUAAAAUACUAUUAAGAUAAGUAUUAAAUUAAAUUUAAUAUUAAAUUAUUAAAAUAAUAUUAUUUUUGGAAUAAUUAAUCUGAAAUCAAAUUCUCUGGUAGAGUCCCAAUAGGACUGUAACCCUUCCAUUACUCAAUCACUAAUGACCAACCGCCACCGGCCACCAGGACACUGCUGUUGUAGCCACCGGCAUCGCCGUGUCCGAUGAUGUAGGUGUGACACCCUUACGGCAUCCCGAGCCGGUUCGGUCCGGGUCAAUGAUGACCCGAUCUAGCCACUGGUUAGACCGUCGGCUCAGUUUCACAUACCGGGAUAGGUUUGACUAGUUUUUGGGUCUUGGUCUCAAUUUUUGGCUCUCGGGCCUAAUUUACAAUCUCAGGUCCAAUUUUCAAGUUCAAUUACUCAUUAGGCCAAUUGUCUGACUUGAAAAUUAACUUCCAAAAAUAUCAUAUUAAUUUUAAUUGAUUUGAUUAAUUUAAAAUUUUACUUGAUUAAAAUUAAUUUUUCAAAAAAUUUCUUAUAUUUUUCAAAUUAUUUUUUCAAGAAAAUUAUUUAAUUAAAUUAUCUAGUUAAACAAUUCUAAUGACCGCCAAAUUUAAUUUUACAUUGAAUAAAUCGACUCAAUUAAAUUAUUUUCAAAGUGAUAGAAUUUACUUCUAAUUCAAAUGCAGUCCGAUCGAGCUUUUGUUGAGCUAGCGGAGGGACCAAUCAAACAUAUACAAUUAGACUCUAAUGAUUGCAAUUAUGUCUAGAAGCAUCAUUUCGAUAAUUUACAAUUACUUAAUCAUGGAGCCAGUCCACAACAAGUACCAUGAUUGAAAACUUCUUAUUGUAUACUCUUUACGAAAGCAAUUCAUCCAACUGCUUUUUCUAAUGACCUUGUCAUGUUUGCGUUACCCUCAUAUGAUAUCCUUGAUUUUUUUGAGUUAAGCCCGUUCAUUCAAUAGAAUCCUAUUUUAUCUCAUUGUCACCAUUGUGUCUUAUUAACGAUUAAUAUGAUCACUAUCAACAAAUGACUGUGAUAAAUUGCUCGUUUGAGAAUAAGCAACCCGUGGCCACGUUUCAUAUUUAUCAAUCCACAUAAUGCCAAUGAGAGAAUAUCAUUAACUCUUUAAUUGAGCUAUGAAUUCCACUGUUGCUAGUAAAGCCAUGCCUUGCACAAGUCAUGUACCCAACAUAUAGGCUAUGGGCUCGAUUAUCUUUAGAGCAUAAACCUCCACUUAUAUCAAAGCACAUGAGUUGUAUACGUAUGGUCAGUGACUAACUCAGGAUUUAGGUAAAUCACACCAUGAAUGUCACAAGUGAGUUAAUUCACAAACGAAUUCAAAAUUAAUUCAUCUUGGGUCCAGUCCAACGUAUCAUUCUAUCAAUGAAUACAUCUAUGUCUCUACUCGUGGAGUUAAUUUCUCUAAUAGCCAAGACUAGUCAUCUCCCUAAUUGGAAUUGUAGACGGCAAAAUAAUCCUUAUCAGUGUUUGAAUCAAAUGCUCACUUUGAUUCUUUUACGGAAUUACGGACUCAUUUAGAUUAUCUACUAGAGUAAGUUAUCUUUCUCUCAAUGUAAACGUUCUUUACAAUGCCACUUAUGUAACACCCCAAACCCGACCUAGACGUUAGGGCCGAAUCUGACGAUGUCACAUGGUAGUGCUUUUCAAAAAAAUAUGUCGUUGCUAAAUCCCUUUUUCUAUGUAACCAUUUUUUUCAUUUUCUUAUGUUAAUUUCAAAUCCUGUCGUUCGUUUCCAAAAUAUAUUCAUUUACAAAUCGUUAUUCAAUUUCAAAACGUUUUUUUAUUUUUAUUGUAGAAGCUUUUAAACAGUUUUCUUAUUCGUGGUAUUUUUGAUAAAACAUUAAUUUCAAUUGAAAACCCGAGUUUUACCUAACACUAGUAGAUUUAAAUCAUAAAACCGUAUAAAAUCCAAAUUUUAAACCAAAAUUCGUAAAGGCCAUAAUGACAGCAAAAUACUCCCAAAUAAAAGUAAAAUCAUAAAUAGGUAAUAAAUAGUGUAAAUAAAGUCGUGUGGCCACCACUGAGUCCUCCGCCGCACCGAUCCGCCUAUAUCUGGGGAUUAUCUGUACAGAUUAAAUAGAAGGGGUGAGUUUACAUAAGCUCAGUGUGUAAUCCCUAUACAAAUGUACAGACAGUAAACAGAUAAUCACAGUCUGGGCUUAAGCCCUUUUCAGGAUCAGUAUCAGUCCAGUUUGGGCCUUAGCCCAUCUCAGUACAGAAAUAGUCAUGAAGUAGGGCUUUAGCCCAUCACAAUAUCAGUAGCAGUAAUAGAUAUGUAGUCACAAAAAUCCUACCCAUCCAGCCUCUACACACCAUCUCCAUCCAACCCUACACCCCAUGUGAGGAUAUAAUCAACCCACCUAUCCCUACACUCCAAGUAGUAUCGAAUGCGGCACUAGACAGUAUUUUGUAGCUUAGCUACCAGUAAAUUAGGGUCGAGGCGUUUUAGUACAUUUCCUCUGAACAUUACAAUCCCCUCAACCCAAUGCAAUGCAAUAAACAGAUAUGACAUGCUAUAACAUAAUAUCAUGCAUGUAAACAGGGCAUACAGUAUCAAAUCAGUUGGACAUCAUCAGGCUUAAUCAUAUCAGUCAUAUAGUCAUUUCACUCAAUUAAGGGUCUAGGUAAGCUUACCGACCCUACAAUAGGUCCACAGUCGACUCGGGCGACCCGUGCAACCUUAGCAAUAAAACAGUGAAAAUGGGCCUACAAGCACAUGAUGUUCGCCCGUGUAGGUCCACACGCCCGUGUGGCCCACAUGGCCCAAAUUGGCCUUGGCCUCGUGAUUCAUUUUAAUGUAACCCGUGCUAGUUAAUUAUUCAUAUGUGUUUCCACUAUUUACUUAUAUGAUCCUUUAAAGCUGUCUACUUGAGUCACUGUUACUAAAUUAUUUGUAUCUUAAGCUAAAGAAUUUCGAAUUAAGAUCCGCAAAUUUUCCCUGAAGUUAGACUCACAUAUCUUCUUACCAUAAAAUUUUCAGAAUUUUUGGUUUAGCCAAUAAGUACAGUUUAUUCUUUAAAGUUUCCCAUGUUCUGCUGUCUGACAGUUUUGACCUUUUUGUACUAAAAAAUAAUUAUCUUCUCUUACAGAAUUUGGAUGAUGUUACCGUUUAUUUCUCUUGAAAAUAAACCCAUUCAAGAUUUUAAACAUAUAAAUUCUAACCCAUAAUUAUUUUUAUACAAUUUUUAAUAAUUUUCCAAAGCUAGGAUAGUGGAUUCCAAAACCAUUCUGACCCUAUCUCACUAAAAUUCAAAUAUCUCAUAAUAUGAAAUUAUUUUGCUUACUUUGUUUCUUCUAUGAGAAACUAGACUCAAAUAUAUUUAAUCCCAUAUUUUUUUAAUCCUCUAAUUUGAUUUUCACAAUUUAUGGUGAUUUUUCAAAUUUAGCCUACUGCUGCUGUCCAAAUAGCAAGUAAUUUCAGCUUUUCGCUGAAUCCCUUAUUUUUCUGUUUCGAGUAUAGACCUGGUAUCGUUUCACUGCAAAUAUGCUCCCAAGCACUCCAAGACCUAAAAAUCAAUAAUGAGAGCCCAAUUUAGAUCACUAACGAAAACUCACAACUGAAAAUCGUCUACAUCAAAAUCGAUAGCGAACCUAAACACUUACCGGCAACGAACCGAAAUUUCUAACGCUCAAUUUGCUUGUGAAGCUACAACUGAUUUCUGAUUUUUUUCCUAAACCAAGAGAGCCAAAACAAUCCUUUUUAGGAACUGGCUAAGAAACGAUAAAAUAGAGGCAGUCAGAUACUUACAGAAUGAGUGUAUACAAUUGUUGGCCGGAAAGUGGGCUAGUAGAAAAAUCAAACAGAGAGGGUGGACUAGGGAGAAAAAAUUCGGCAAAGCAAAGAAGAAUAGAAUAGCAGAAAAAUUGGGGAAAAGAGGAGAAUGCCGAAGUACUUAUGUCACAUAAACACAAAAACAAGAAUUAAAAAUUUUGGGACGUUACAACUUAUCUUCAGUUUGAACUUUAGAUAAUUGAUGAGCUAAUAUUUGCUUGUCACAAUUUCACUAUGCAUGCAAAAUAUAAAAGACAUAAAUACAAAAGGCAUAAUAGUGAAAUGUGAAAUUAACUUUAUUUAUUUAUUCAUCGUUCAAAUAAAUAGAAAAUAGUUACAUGUUUACUACAACAUGGGCACAUUUUUCAACAUUUUCCACAACUGAAAUAUAUAUGAAUAUGCAUGUUCUUGAUGACAUGGUUCCUACUACGAGUUGGAAGAUGAUUUGGAAAGCGAAGACACCUCAGAGGGUUCGUGUUUUCCUUUGGCUUUUGUGGCAAAACAAAUUAUUGACGAAUGGUAAGCGGGUAAGGAAACACAUGACAAGCGAUGAGAGUUGCCAUAGAUGUAGUAGUGUGCUGGAAAUGGGAUCCCAUGUGAUCUGAGAUCACCCGUUUGCUAGAUCAGUGUGGCUAUUGGUAAUUUCAAGGUGAGAUCAAGGUGUUUUUUUCUCUCUUCCGUUUGAUGAGUGAUUUCUUUGGAAUAUGCAAAAUAUAGGGAAUUGUACGGUUUGACAAACUCUAUUUUCUAUAAUAUGUUGGUUGCUUUGGAAAGACCGAAACUCAUUUGUUUUUUCUAACAACCAUAGUUGUGUUCAAGCUAUUGGUUACAUGUUAUACUUGGGUGAGCUAUGCAGAAUCUGGUUCGAGUUUGUUUCAGCUAAGUCUUAUGCGCACAUUGUUGCAUUAGGCUCGGCUGGAGAGGGGUUGGAUAAAACUUAAUACGAAUGGUGCGGUCUCAACCACCAGUCUUUCUUCAUCCAUUGGAGAAAUGUUUUGAGAUUCAGAUGCUAAUUGGUUGCGUGGUUUCUCGAUAGCCAAGGAUUCUGUCUUCAAAGUACAAGUAAGUGCAAUCUUGGAAGGCCUACUUUUGGCCCGGAGAAGGGUUUUAGACAUAUACAAUUGAAUGUGAUAAUGCACUACUGGUGGAGUUACUUUUGGCUGGUGGGGGAGAAAAAUAGCAGUUUGGUAGAGUUACGAUUGUUGCAUCAAAUCUUGAGAAAGAGUUGGAGAGUACGAAUUCAUCAUAUUCCAAGAAUUCAUAAUGAAGUUGCCAAUCAUAUGGCUAAAUGUUAUACUCCUAGAGUUUCAAGUUUGCAAGUAUACAACGAUCUCCCAGAUAUGGUGAAAAGUUUAUUGUUAGUUGAUUUAACUCGACUGAUGUUGGGUUAAGAUGUAACUGGUUGAUGUUUCAUUUUAUGCUAUUAUUUUUUACAAAAAAAAUAUAGAUUUCAAAUUUAAGCAUAGUAUAAUGACUUCAAAAGUGUAAUAAUCGUGUACAACUUCAAUAAAGAAAAUACAAUUUAUUAUUAUUAUUAGCCAAAAUGAAAACUUAUAAAAUUGGAUCCCCAAUUGUAUAGUUUACCCUUUAUUAUUCCACAAGUCUUAACUUAAUAAUACAUGAAGGACAGAAAGGAAAAAAAAAACUGUGAGCUGAAUUGAGCACGACAUUACAUCGAAAACUACAUGAACAAAACCGAAAGAGUCCCAUCUCCAAGUAGUUGUCUUCACUUGUUUUAUUCCCUUAACCUCGACACUUAAAAAAAUAAAAUCUCAACAAUAAUAUGCUAAAGUUUCUCAAACAUGAAAAUGAAUAAGGUUGGGUAGACAAUUAUUUCAACUUUUAAGGAUAAAAAAGGAAAAUCAUAGAUAAAAGUAUGAGCAUUAUUGUCAAACCAAAAACCUUACUUUUUCACUACCCUUUACUGGAGGUUCAAGCUUUAGUCCACAGACUAAUCCUUAAGUGAGAUUUGAAUCGUCCAAUUGCACUGCACCAGUGCAUCCAAACAGCAUUUCAAUAUGUUUGAAGUGAAAAAGUUACUCCAAUCGUGCCUCACUGCAGUUAAACACUGAACGAAAGGAAACCUUAGUUGUUGUUCCAUAUAUACUUUCAAAAAAAAGAUAUAAGGAAAAAGACUUCUAUCUGAUCUGUCAUGGAAAAAAUUGUUGAUGUGAUAUAUAAUUAUCGAAUUGGCCGCUCACGAUAAAAUAUAACCAAUCUAUUAAGGGAUAAAAUAUUCUUUUACUGUUAAAUUACGUGUUUAAAAUGAUUGAUAUCAACAUUAAUUCCCAAGCCUACUUUAUAUACAUAAUAAACCCUAUAUAAUUCUCAUAAAUAAUUUUCAUAAUUAAUUAAAAAUAUUUAAAUACAUUAGUAAUAUUAUUACAAGUUCAAAACUUAAAUAACUAACUAUUAUUUAUUAAAAUUUAAUUUUUUUAAAAAGUAAUUAUAUGUAAUAAAUUGAAUUAUAAAAAAAUCGAAAGGGGGAAAGGGGAAACAAAAAACAAUGAAGCUAUGUUUGGCAAUGGCAGAUCCAUCGGUGUUUUGUAAUUAACGCAAGUUACGUAGCCAAGAGGAAUAUUAGGUAGGGGGGACCAAGCAAUUAUCUCAACGUUGAAAACGUAAGCCUACCCUUAUUCAAUUAUUACCUUGACGUUAUUGACUUCAUCUCCAAUUUCCUUAAGAACCAUGGUAAACAUUUACCAGAAUACUUCAUCGUCAAUGGCAUUAGCCAAUUAAUAAUUUACCAUUGUGGGGGUUAAAAGAAUGUUAUAGCCAAAUCCACGGAUGAACUCCAUGACAGUGUAAUUAAAUUAUCCUUAGAAAGAAAACCAGAUAAUAAAAUAAAUUUAUUAUUGGGUACUAUAUAGUUAGUCACCCGACUUUUAUAAAUUUUCAUUUUGGGCAUAAAAAUUUAAAAGAAAAUUUAAAAUUUAGGUGCUACCAUUAACAAUAGUUUUCAUUUUGGUCACUCGUUAGUUUGGGGCUACGCAAGGUCAUUUUACUCUCAUUUUAGUCACUCAAUUUUAAUAAGUUUUCGUUUUAGUCAGUCAUUUCUUUUUCUUUUUUUAGAGUUUCUUUUAUCUACUUUCAAAAAAGAAAACAAUAAACCCAGAAUUUUAUAGGGAAUUGAUUUUUUCCGCUACAGAAAUGAAAGGCAAGUUUUAUUUUCCUGUAACUCAACUCACUGUAAAAACUCGGGUUUUCUCUUAUAAGAAUCUAAGUUUUCACUUUUUAUUAGAAAAGAACUAAAAUUAAUUCUGGAAAAAAGGAAAUUAAAAAGAUAAAAUGAAUUUUCUUUUUUUAACUAUGGGUGACUAAAAUAAAAAUGAUUGUUAACAGUAGUGUCAAAAUUCAAAUUUUUUAUUUAAUUACAAUGUUCAAAAUAAAAACUUAUGAAAAUUAGGUGACAAAAAAUACAGUUUACCCUUUAUUAUUNNNNNNNNNNNNNNNNNNNNNNNNNNNNNNNNNNNNNNNNNNNNNNNNNNNNNNNNNNNNNNNNNNNNNNNNNNNNNNNNNNNNNNNNNNNNNNNNNNNNNNNNNNNNNNNNNNNNNNNNNNNNNNNNNNGUCGGCGCGAAACAGCCGGGCAAUGGGAUAUGCCGAUGGUGUGACCACCUGAAAAACAAUGAUGUCAUUACAUGUUAUGGAUGAACGGAACGAGUAGGUUAAGUGUAAAUUAUACCAGAUAGGAGAACUAAGUCGGUCAAGUUAAGUCCUUGGUUACUGAAAAGAGUAAGGAGAGUAGUGAAGUUGUGGAAAGGGCUUGGAAUGUUGGUAUUUGCUUCGGUGAUAUUGGAUAUCACACCGUCUCUUCUUCCUGUUGGAACAUUCCAAAAUGGACCUCCCUGUGAUAAGCAGUGACCAUUUUCAGUGCUUGGGAUGGUUAUGUUUUAUGUGGGAAAUGGAAAGCAUGCAGGUGAUUUUUUGUACUUACAGUGGUUACUACAGAGUCUCUGGCAACCAAAGUGAGGAUAUCGGCACAGGAGACAACUCCAGGGCAUUCGGCUUCGAGGAGGCUCUUCACUCUUUCAAUGAAAUCAAAGCCCCUCAGUGUUAGAUUUGGGACUGCAUUCUUCUCUGCUUGGCCAGAUGUGGAGUUUAGAAGCACUGAUGCAUCACAGCCCUGCCCGCAGAAAAUAAAAAUAGUAUCAUUUUCACUCCUUGUUUCUAUGCCACACCAUGGUUGUUAAAGCCGAAUCAAAGGUCGAAUAUAAAUAUAAAAGAGAAAAAGGCAGAAGUUUACCCUGACAAUGCAAUCAUGGAAGUGCAUUCUUAAGAAAGAAGCAGCGAGGGAUGGGGCAUUAGGGAUGUGCUGUUUAACAUAGUCCAGCACAAUCUGCUCGGCUUUAGGACAGCUGCUGGCAUAAAAGUUCAUCUGCAGUUGAGCCUGUGCGGACCCAAUCAAUGCUAAAACACCAAACACAACAACUAAAACAAUCCUCGCAGAGCUUGUUCCUGCCAUCUUCGACAGACUUUGAACUAGCUCCUGUUUCAGAUCUCUUUUAAGGACAGCAAUGUUUGAUGUUGUUGUGAUUUAGAAAACGAGGGAAUGUUUAUAGGCACUGAUUUUCAAUUACUACAAGAUUAAAACUAUACAACUACAAAUAAGAUAAUCAAACCUGUGCUGCCUACGUUAUCUAUCUUUAGAAUUCUUUUUCGACAAAAAGUGCAGCAAACCGCCUUUGGCUGUUUGUCAGCGCGUAGAUCUCAAAAAGUUAUUCAAAAUUAAAAAAAUUCGUCUCAAUCGGACAACCGAGCGAAAAGUUAUGGCCUUUCAAAGUUUUCCAAGCUAAAAAUGAGAAAUUGUUCAUCCACGUCAGCAAAUCGCGUCCUAGAGGGCGUGAUUUGUGUCCACGUAAGCAAAUCGCGCUGACGUGGACGCGAUUUCGCGGAAAAUGGACCAUUCCGGUAAAUAAUUAAAUAAUUGGCCUAUUUCGAUAAUUUUUGAAAAAAAAAGGGCUUUUUUUGGUCAUUUGCCCGUCAAAUUACAAACUAUUAUUUACAAAUUACCAGAAAGCUAUAAUCACCAAAGCAAAUACAAAAGAAUAAAAAAAUAUCAAUUAUUACAGCGAUCCUUAAUUUUCGCCAAUACAAAAUCAAAAUAAAUCAUUAUUAUAUUUGCAGUAAUAUACAAGCUAACUAAAUUAUUAAUAAAUUUACGUUUUGACUAUUUAAUUUUAAAAGUUAUAAAAUAGUCAUUGAAUUAUUCGAAAAUUUUUAUUUAAAUCUUUGGAAUGUUAAAAUCGUUGUUGUUUAACCUUCUUGUUCGCAUUAAUUGAAAGUUUUCCUUCCCUUUUCUUUUCUACAAUUCAAUUUUUUUCAAGAAAUAAUUUUGAACGUUAUGAAACUGUAAAUAAAAUCCAAACAGUUUUCUUUUCUAAUCUCUAACAUUGAUCGUUAGAUAGAUUUGGGUUUAAAAUAUGUUCUUCUACUCGUCAAUGGGUAUCAGUUCAUCAUACCGAUAGUCAAAUAAUCACUUAGAAAUCGUUAGCCAGACUUUAAAAAAAAACCUUAACAGCCCAAUGGCUUAAAUAAAAAUUUUCGAAUAAUUUAAUGACCAUUUUAUAACUUUUUGAAAUUAAGUAACCAAAACAUAAAUUUAAUAACAGUUUAGUGAGUUAGUGUAAUUUACUUUAUGUUUGCCUAUAAAUGAAAAUGAUUACAUUCAUAUAACAAAUUGCAAACAUUUGAUCAACUUUACUGAUUCAAGUUUUACAUUUACACAAUUAAAACAAAAAAAAAAAACUGAAAAAAAAGCAUAAAUAAUACACAAAUUAUGGUAUUAAACUCGCCUCAUUGUCGGCUAUAAAAAAAAAUUACAGUGGCAUCAAAUUAUUGAAUCGAAAAGUAGAUGUAUACAAAUGUAUAUAACAUAUGAUAGCCAUCGAGCGGUUCAACCAAUUCAAUCAAUUGAUUUCAUUCAGCUCUGUUAUUUUGUUCUUAUCUGACUUGGUUUUUAGUGUGUCGUCAUCAAAUUCAUGAAUUAACCUUUAAACAGAUCAAGGUUUAGUGUUAUCUAAAGAUAGGUAACGUGGACAGCACAAGCUUGAUUAUCUUAUUUGAAAUUGUAUAGUUUUCAUCUUCUAGUAGUUGAAAAUCAGUGCCUAUAAAACAUUCCCUUGUUUUCCAAAUCACAACAACAUCAAACAUUGCUGUCUUAAAAGAGAUCUGAAACAGGAGCUAGUUCAAAGUCUGUCGAAGAUGGCAGGAACAAGCUCUGCGAGGAUUGUUUUAGUUGUUGUGUUUGGUGUUUUAGCAUUGAUUGGGUCCGCACAGGCUCAACUGCAGAUGAACUUUUAUGCCAGCAGCUGUCCUAAAGCCGAGCAGAUUGUGCUGGACUAUGUUAAACAGCACAUCCCUAAUGCCCCAUCCCUCGCUGCUUCUUUCUUAAGAAUGCACUUCCAUGAUUGCAUUGUCAGGGUAAACUUCUGCCUUUUUCUCUUUUAUAUUUAUAUUCGACCUUUGAUUCGGCUUUAACAACCAUGGUGUGGCAUAGAAACAAGGAGUGAAAAUGAUACUAUUUUUAUUUUCUGCGGGCAGGGCUGUGAUGCAUCAGUGCUUCUAAACUCCACAUCUGGCCAAGCAGAGAAGAAUGCAGUCCCAAAUCUAACACUGAGGGGCUUUGAUUUCAUUGAAAGAGUGAAGAGCCUCCUCGAAGCCGAAUGCCCUGGAGUUGUCUCUUGUGCCGAUAUCCUCACUUUGGUUGCCAGAGACUCUGUAGUAACCACUGUAAGUACAAAAAAUCACCUGCAUGCUUUCCAUUUCCCACAUAAAACAUAACCAUCCCAAGCACUGAAAAUGGUCACUGCUUAUCACAGGGAGGUCCAUUUUGGAAUGUUCCAACAGGAAGAAGAGACGGUGUGAUAUCCAAUAUCACCGAAGCAAAUACCAACAUUCCAAGCCCUUUCCACAACUUCACUACUCUCCUUACUCUUUUCAGUAACCAAGGACUUAACUUGACCGACUUAGUUCUCCUAUCUGGUAUAAUUUACACUUAACCUACUCGUUCCGUUCAUCCAUAACAUGUAAUGACAUCAUUGUUUUUCAGGUGGUCACACCAUCGGCAUAUCCCAUUGCCCGGCUGUUUCGCGCCGACUGUACAAUUCCACCGGCCCCGGCGGAAUCGACCCAACCAUGGACAGCGAGUACGCUGAAAACCUCAAGGCCAACAAGUGUAAAACCGCGAGCGAUAACACCACAAUACUUGAGAUGGACCCUGGGAGUCGGAAAACCUUCGAUCUUAGCUACUACUCACUCUUGCUCAAAAGAAGGGGUCUUUUCCAAUCCGAUGCUGCUUUAACCACUGAUUCAACCAGCUUGGCUUUCAUCAACCAGCUCCUUACCAGUCCCCCACAGUUCUUCUUUGAUGAGUUUGCCAAAGCCAUGGAGAAAAUGGGUCGGGUUAAUGUUAAGACUGGAUCCGAAGGCCAGAUCCGGA